UACUGCUGAGAAAAGAAAGAUGAGACGCUUGGUUUCUCAGUCUCCUAAGAGAGUGCGGCAGUGUGUCGGCCGGCUCUAGUACACCUUUAUGGCACUGCCCGGCCCUCUGGGAACAGUUUUCUGGGCGGAUAUGAAUGUGGCUCCCUGCAGUUAGAAUAAUAAAUUACUCCUUUUCUAUCCAAGUUGCCAGAGUGUCUGAGAGUUGUUAUCCCAGUUGGAGAAGACGGCUGUGACUGGAGUAGAGAUUUAUCUUCUCUGGCAUGCUGCC